rnacentral:rRNA from 1 species
UGGGGAAUAUUGCACAAUGGGCGCAAGCCUGAUGCAGCCAUGCCGCGUGUGUGAAGAAGGCCUUCGGGUUGUAAAGCACUUUCAGCGGGGAGGAAGGCGUUAAGGUUAAUAACCUUGGCGAUUGACGUUACCCGCAGAAGAAGCACCGGCUAACUCCGUGCCAGCAGCCGCGGUAAUACGGAGGGUGCAAGCGUUAAUCGGAAUUACUGGGCGUAAAGCGCACGCAGGCGGUCUGUCAAGUCGGAUGUGAAAUCCCCGGGCUCAACCUGGGAACUGCAUUCGAAACUGGCAGGCUAGAGUCUUGUAGAGGGGGGUAGAAAUCCAGGUGUAGCGGUGAAAUGCGUAGAGAUCUGGAGGAAUACCGGUGGCGAAGGCGGCCCCCUGGACAAAGACUGACGCUCAGGUGCGAAAGCGUGGGGAGCAAACAGG